rnacentral:rRNA from 1 species
GGAAUAUUGGACAAUGGGCGCAAGCCUGAUCCAGCAAUGCCGCGUGUGUGAAGAAGGCCUGCUGGCUGUAAAGCACUUUCGGUGGGGAGGAAGCUAUUGUUAGGAAUCUUAAUGCUAGUUGACGUUACCUACAGAAGAAGCACCGGCUAACUCUGUGCCAGCAGCCGCGGUAAUACAGAGGGUGCCAGCGUUAAUCGGAAUUACUGGGCGUAAAGGGUGCGUAGGUGGUUAUUUAAGUCAGAUGUGAAAUCCCUGGGCUUAACCUAGGAAUGGCAUAUGAAACUGGAUAACUAGAGUUCGAUAGAGGGAAGUGGAAUUUCCGGUGUAGCGGUGAAAUGCGUAGAUAUCGGAAGGAACAUCAGUGGCGAAGGCGACUUCCUGGCUCGAUACUGACACUGAGGCACGAAAGCGUGGGGAGCAAAC